rnacentral:lncRNA from 1 species
AAAAAGGGUAAAGGAAAGGGAAGAUCCAGAUACAAAUGGGGUGGGAACUGAAUCAGAUCAUAGAAAGGACAAGAAACAGCCCUCCUGACCAACUCCCUACUGCCACACCCCCCAAACCAAGGUUCAGAAAAAUCAAUUAGAAGUAGAUAUAUAGGCAAAGCUCACAUAUCGGCUCCCAAGUCCCCAGGUGAUGCCACAUUUGUGGCAAGGUCAUCACUGGGAGAUCAAAUUUUAUAGUCAGUCCUCAGAUUGGGAAAUAUUUUCUAGCAAUGUCUGUACGUAAUAAUAUUUUACUGAUAUAAAACACCUGGUGGUCAUGUGGUGUUUGCUGUCACACAAAUUGUUGUGAUGACAGUCAAAGUGGUAUACUCAGUUUAUAAGAUGCAGUAGGACAGAGAUCAUUGUCAUGGGCAAUGUAUGCAACUUGCCUCUGACAAGUCUGCAGCAAAUUCUUGACUUCUUCAUCCCCCAUAAAAUUCUGCAUCAUAGAUAUCUGGUAAACACCUGUCAGCUGCCACUGCUGUGUUUGCAAUGAGCCUGGUUUUAUGGACUCUACAGUUGAGUUACAGGAGUGAGGCUAUGAGGGCUGGCAUACGUAGAUUACAACUACUUCACUAAAUAGAGAUGGGGUGGAGGGUAGAUAGGGCAUAAAAUUGUAAUUCAAGAACAGAAACCAUCCUUCUUUUGGGAAUCCUCCUAAGAUGGAGGACUUCCUAAGGGGCAUUGUUUCUAAAACAGGACUAACAAUUAACACAUACACUCUAUGUAUGUACAUAAAAUAUUUGAGGGCACAGAAUAUUUUAUCUUCAGUGCCUAAUCCCAUGCCUGUUAGGUAGUUAUUGCUUAAAAGGGUUACAAAAGCAAUGAAAGAGAAAAUAAACAAUGUAACUAUAGUUCCCAUUAUUCUGAAAUCCAAACAACUUUGAAUUUCCAACAAGGUCUGAGAUGUGCUUUGCUUUAAAAUUCUACAAAUACAUUUCUAAGGGACAGCAGAAGAAUCAAUUAACUCGUCCC